UCAUCCAUCAUUUGAAUAAAACAACUCUGAGACCAUAUGGAUUCCGGCAACAGAGAGGAAUGCAUACUGACAGGACUAUUCCAGCCAUGAAGAGAAGAGAAGCAGUCCAGAGAUGGAAGAUGCUGAUGUUGCCUUGCCAUACUAAUAGCCAGCAGCUGUGUGUCCCUGCAGGUUGCCCAGGACCA